rnacentral:rRNA from 1 species
UACGAGGGGGGCGAGCGUUGUUCGGAAUUAUUGGGCGUAAAGGGUGCGUAGGCGGCCUGACAAGUCUGAUGUGAAAUCCCUGGGCUCAACCCAGGGCCUGCAUCGGAAACUGUCGGGCUUGAGUAUGGGAGAGGUGAGUGGAAUUUCCGGUGUAGCGGUGAAAUGCGUAGAUAUCGGAAGGAACACCUGUGGCGAAAGCGGCUCACUGGACCAUAACUGACGCUGAGGCGCGAAAGCUAGGGGAGCAAACAGG